GCCGGUGUAGCUCAGUGGCAGAGCAACGGUUUCGUAAACCGUAGGUCGUCGGUUCAAUCCCGACCACCGGCU
rnacentral:tRNA from 1 species